CUGAUCAACUUGUGAUUUCCUGUUGUUCCAUUGCACAUGUGCUAUUGUGUGUUUGCUACAGUGUGUUGUCGCUGUUAGCUUGCCUGUUGAUCUGCCUGUUGUGUGCAGUGUGAAUUUUGGUUUUGAGUUGAUAAGUUGUUGUCAAUCUCAUUUCCAUUUUGUAUAUUUUGUAAAGUAUUGUAAAUACUCUUUUCCACACUUGGAAGCUGUAGGGGUGCGUCCCUGAAACAAAAGCAGGUUUGGAUCCCCAUGUCUCCGGCUCGACCCAGGAUGGAUUUUGGCGAAACAGCAGAAAAGAGUGACCUCAUUUUUUGCGCUGCUUAGAUGGGCAGUCCUCCGGUGACCUAGACGGCCCUCUCCGGUCCUCUCUGGAGAAGUCAGCACUUCAGACAAAAAAAAAACACUCUUAACCAGAGAUGUGCAUUCAUGGUAUAUAUGUAACCGCAACACAGGCCACAAUUAUUCCUGUUUCUCUCCAAAAUGGCCAUUUUAGCAGCUGCCUCUUCAGCAGAUCUCUGCUGUGCGUGGGUCAAGGGAACAGGCCUGUGGUCACGCCGGUCAGGCUACGGGUGCGACGGGAGGCCUCAGAUUAAUGGCCCCUCUCUGGAGGUCCUGCUACCGAUUGACCUGCCCCUUUAUAAUUCUUUUCA